GGUAUUUAAAAGGUGGAUAUUUCUUCUAUGUUUAUUGGAUUCAUGGUUAAACGUAGAGGAAGUUCCACUUUUUCAGUAUC
rnacentral:pre_miRNA from 12 species